rnacentral:rRNA from 1 species
UACGUAGGUGGCGAGCGUUGUCCGGAUUUACUGGGCGUAAAGAGCGCGCAGGCGGUCGUGCAAGUCGCGUGUGAAAGCCCCCGGCUCAACUGGGGAGGGUCACGCGAUACUGCUCGACUCGAAGGCAGGAGAGGGAAGUGGAAUUCCCGGUGUAGUGGUGAAAUGCGUAGAUAUCGGGAGGAACACCGGUGGCGAAGGCGGCCCUCUGGACGGUGACUGACGCUGAGACGCGAAAGCGUGGGGAGCAAACAGG